AGCGUAGGCGGACUUUUAAGUGAGAUGUGAAAUACCCGGGCUCAACCUGGGUGCUGCAUUUCAAACUGGAAGUCUAGAGUGCAGGAGAGGAGAGUGGAAUUCCUAGUGUAGCGGUGAAAUGCGUAGAGAUUAGGAAGAACACCAGUGGCGAAGGCGACUCUCUGGACAGUAACUGACGUUCAGGCUCGAAAGCGUGGGGAGCAAACA
rnacentral:rRNA from 1 species